rnacentral:ncRNA from 2 species
AAAUAAUAUUUCGGAAAAGGUGCAAAAAAGUCAAUAUAUAGACUUUUUGCUUAAAAGGGAAGUUGGUUAAAGCCAACGCGGUCCCGCCACUGUAAUUGGGAGCAACCUAUAAAAUGUCACUGUCUUAAUGGAUGGGAAGACUUAGGGAGCUAUGAACAUGAGCCAGGAAACCUGCCUUUUUCUUUGCGCCAAA